GAUCUGUAGUCCAUGGGUCACAAAGAGUCAGACAUGAUGGAGCAACUAACACAUAACUAAAACACAGUCUACAUCUGAACAAACAGGUAGUCCUGCCAACGGAGGAUGAAGAGAAAGAAAGAUGACAGCUGAUAUAAAUGCUUACACACCAGGCCCAGUUCUCACCCUUUACAUGUAAAAUUUAAUCCUCAUAAUUUUAGAAGGUUGGAAAAAAGUUACCACCUUUUAAAGAAGAGGAAAUCAAAGCAGAGGUGUAAAUCACAUGCCCAAACAAACUGACACUGCUAGUCUCAGAGUGAGGCUUCCAAUCCAGUUUACCUGACUUCAGACCAUGAUCCUAACCACUACACCAUGCUGCCUUUCAGCAAAAUUACCUUCCGAUCACUAGAAUGAGAGGAAGUGAGACUGUAAAGGAAGCAUUCAGACACCAAGAAUCUGUGUCCUAGGAGAAAAAACAAAGUUGCUACCAGAAAGAAAACUGACUUUGGUAGCAAAGGAUUAGAUGACCAAUGGUACACAAGAAAAAUAAAUAAAUUUAAUUAUAAACAAAAUAACCUA